AUGACAGGUGAGCCCCACCUCAGACUCUUUUUGGAGGAAAUGGAGGAGUUCGGUGCAGAGUCUAGCACAAGGCACAUCUCCCUGCUGGAGAAGUAGGUGGGUGUUUUCACAGGAUGCACAUGGCUCGUCACCAACGACCCUGCUAUUAAGAAUCAAGAACACCAUCCACGGCUUCUGUUUUUACAAAAUAUUUAUUUGCAACUGGGAAAAAAAUGCAACAACUAUGAUGUCAGUAAGUCACCUUCUAAAGAGAUAAGUGUUUUCUGAUAGCUGAAUUAUGUUUAGAGGUGAACUUGCUGAACAAAGAGGAACCCCAUGCUGCAGAGUCAUGGGGGGGGCAUGGGGUUAGCAGGCACCUCCUGGGAGCCACUCCCUGCCUAGCCAGGAUCUCCAUGCCUGUCCUUGUCCCUAUAAGCUCC
rnacentral:lncRNA from 13 species